rnacentral:rRNA from 1 species
GAUGAACGCUGGCGGCGUGCCUAAUACAUGCCAGUCGAGCGAACUGACGAGGAGCUUGCUCCUCUGACGUUAGCGGCGGACGGGUGAGUAACACGUGGAUAACCUACCUAUAAGACUGGGAUAACUUCGGGAAACCGGAGCUAAUACCGGAUAAUAUAUUGAACCGCAUGGUUCAAUAGUGAAAGACGGUUUUGCUGUCACUUAUAGAUGGAUCCGCGCCGCAUUAGCUAGUUGGUAAGGUAACGGCUUACCAAGGCAACGAUGCGUAGCCGACCUGAGAGGGUGAUCGGCCACACUGGAACUGAGACACGGUCCAGACUCCUACGGGAGGCAGCAGUAGGGAAUCUUCCGCAAUGGGCGAAAGCCUGACGGAGCAACGCCGCGUGAGUGAUGAAGGUCUUCGGAUCGUAAAACUCUGUUAUUAGGGAAGAACAAAUGUGUAAGUAACUAUGCACGUCUUGACGGUACCUAAUCAGAAAGCCACGGCUAACUACGUG